rnacentral:rRNA from 1 species
AGUAGUUUGACUCCGUCGGCUACAGAACGACGCUGGCGGCAGGCUUAACACAUGCAAGUCGAACGGUUGUAGCAAUACAGCAGUGGCGCACGGGUGAGUAACGCGUGGAUAUCUGCCUUUUGGUUCGGAAUAACUCCGGGAAACUGGAGCUAAUACCGGAUGGUUCCUACGGGAUAAAGAUUUAUCGCCAAAAGAUGAGUCCGCGUACGAUUAGCUAGUUGGUGAGGUAAUGGCUCACCAAGGCGACGAUCGUUAGCUGGUCUGAGAGGACGAUCAGCCACACUGGGACUGAGACACGGCCCAGACUCCUACGGGAGGCAGCAGUGGGGAAUAUUGGACAAUGGGGGCAACCCUGAUCCAGCCAUGCCGCGUGAGUGAUGAAGGCCUUCGGGUUGUAAAGCUCUUUUGGCGGGGACGAUGAUGACGGUACCCGCAGAAUAAGCCCCGGCUAACUUCGUG